CAUUUUACAGAGAGACAAAUAACGAGAAGGAUGCUAUGGACCCACAAAAUGCUACGUUGAUACCUACAAGGAAUCGACAUUGUAAAUGAAGUUGUGCAGAUUCAUCAUCGUACCCGGGUAAUCGAUCUCUUGCCAAUAAGACGUCAGGCUGCCCUGGGGAUCCAAUUGCAGAUCCAAACUACCAAGAUCGUGCCUAUACUUCUCCAAAAUAGUAUUUAUGCCAGUCGAGGUUCCGGCAAAGAUCAACCAAGAGCAGGAAGCAGGAGAAAUGAAACCACGCUGGCAAAAACCGCCAGGAUCAUGCUUCCACCUACUACCCGAUGGAGUCCGUUACAAGAGCAAUCUGGCGGAAUGGGAUUAACGGAAGUAGUGGCGAUGCAAUAGUAACAUGCGAGAAGUCUAACAAUGCAGUUACGGCCUG